CCUACGGGAGGCAGCAGUGAGGAAUAUUGGUCAAUGGGCUUACGCCUGAACCAGCCAAGUCGCGUGAGGGAAGACUGCCCUAUGGGUUGUAAACCUCUUUUGUCAGGGAGCAACGCCGGCUACGUGUAGCCGGACUGAGAGUACCUGAAGAAAAAGCAUCGGCUACCUCCGUGCCAGCAGCCGCGGUAAUACGGAGGAUGCGAGCGUUAUCCGGUUUUAUUGGGUUUAAAGGGUGCGUAGGCGGACUGUCAAGUCAGCGGUAAAAUCGGGGGGCUCAACCUCGCGCCGCCAUUGAAACUGGCGUUCUUGAGUGAGGGUGAGGUAUGCGGAAUGCGUGGUGUAGCGGUGAAAUGCAUAGAUAUCACGCAGAACUCCGAUUGCGAAGGCAGCAUACCAGCG
rnacentral:rRNA from 1 species